rnacentral:rRNA from 1 species
AUAACUUUGAAAAACAACUCUCAGCAACGGAUAUCUUGGCUCUUGCAACGAUGAAGAACGCAGCGAAAUGCGAUACGUAGUGUGAAUUGCAGAAUUCCGCGAAUCAUCGAGUCUUUGAACGCAAGUUGCGCCCGAGGCUUGUCCGAGGGCAUUUCCGCUAGAGCGUCACCG